rnacentral:lncRNA from 1 species
AGAUCUGAUUUGCUUUCAGUGCAAUCAGAGGGGACAUAAAAAGUCCCAGUGUCCGAGUUUAGCUGCAGCAGGGAAGGUGGCUGCACCUGCCCCUACUACCUUGAGGAUUACAGAUGGCCGGCAGGGCCGAGCCGAGACGCCAGUGGCGAAGAGUAGGGCGUUUCAGAUGACAGCAGAGGAGGCGCGAGCGACUCCUGACGUGGUCACGGGUAUGUAUCUUCCCUUCAUCUCUGUAUUAUUAUUAUUGUUUGAUUAUUGCUUAUGGUUAUAUGUUUUAUAUAGGGUCGUUCUCUAUGAACGGCAUUUCUGCUAUGGUAUUAUUCGAUUCGGGGGCUACCCGAUCAUUUGUAUCGCUUGCCCUUAGCAAGAGAUUUAGUGGAGCUCAAGGGGAGCUGGAUUGUCCUCUAGAGGUUGAGAUAGCGGAUGACAGGACCGUGAGGGUCGCCAGGGUGCAUGGAGGAUGUACUCUUCGGUUGUUUGACGAGCAGUUUUCAGUGGAUCUGGUUCCUAUUCCCCUGANGAAUAAGGUUAUGGUAGGCAUGGAUUGGCUGAGCCCCAAUGGGGAGGUGAUUGAUUGUGAGCAGCAGUUAGUGAGGGUUUGCACUCCCAGUGGGGGAGAGUUAGUGAUUCAGGGCGAGAGGCCACAGCGCGGACCAACCUUUUGUUCCGCCGCGAGAGUGAGACGUUAUUUCCAACAGGGUUGCGCGGGUUAUGUAGCUUAUGUCUUGGAUGCCCGGGAGAAGGUCAAGACGGCAGUUGAUGAUGUUCCGAUAGUGUGAGACUUCUCGGAUGUAUUUCCCGAGGAUUUACCGGGAAUACCUCCUNGUUGGGGAUGAUGCUGCGUUGGAUACCAUGACCUGGACUGAUUUCUCUACCAGGUUCAGGGCGAAGUUUGCACCGGUUAUUGAGGUGCAGCAGUUAGCCCGAGAGUUUCAGAACCUCACCCAGACUACAGAGACCGUGGCGGAGAUCACCGCCAAGUUCAGGGAGAGGGCUCUUCUUGUUCCUCAGUAUGCAGCCGAUGAGGAGAUGAAGAAGGCCCGUUAUCAUGAGAUGUUGCGGAGCGAUAUCCGCCAGUUUGUGAGCCGGUCCAGCUGUAAAACGCUGGAAGAUAUGAUUGCUAGGGCUCGAGAGAGGGAGAUUGAUCUCGAGAUGGAGAAGAAGAGGAAACCGGAGGCGGUUUCGGGUUCAGGCGGUUCGGGCAAAAAGCCCAAGGUUUCAGAUCACAGAUCUAGGAGUCAGCAGAGCCACGGUCGAUGUGGCAAGUGUGGGAGAUUGCACGAGGGGGCGUGCAAGGCAGGGAGUUCCGGCUGCUACAAGUGCGGUCGGAUUGGGCAUUUGAGUAGGGAUUGUACGGCCCCUGCUACUGCCGUUGCAGCAUCAGAUCUGAUUUGCUUUCAGUGCAAUCAGAGGGGACAUAAAAAGUCCCAGUGUCCGAGUUUAGCCGCAGCAGGGAAGGUGGUUGCACCUGCCCCUGCUACCUUGAGGAUUACAGAUGGCCGGCAGGGCCGAGCUGAGGCGCCAGUGGCGAAGAGUAGAGCGUUUCAGAUGACAGCAGAGGAGGCGCGAGCGACUCCUGAUGUGGUGACGGGUAUGUAUCUUCCCUUCAUCUCUUUAUUUUAUUGAUUGAUUAUUGCUUAUGAUUGUAUGUUUUAUAUAGGGUCGUUCUCUGUGAACGGCAUUUCUGCUAUGGUAUUAUUCGAUUCGGGGGCUACCCGAUCAUUCGUAUCGCUUGCGCUUAGCAAGAGAUUUAGUAGAGCUCCAGGGGAGCUGGAUUGUCCAUUAGAGGUUGAGAUAGCAGAUGAUAGGACCGUGAGGGUCGGCAGAGUGCAUAGAGGGUGUUCUCUUCAGUUGUUUGAUGAGCAGUUU